AUUGAACGCUGGCGGCAGGCCUAACACAUGCAAGUCGAGCGGAUGACGGGAGCUUGCUCCUUGAUUCAGCGGCGGACGGGUGAGUAAUACCUAGGAAUCUGCCUGAUAGUGGGGGACAACGUUUCGAAAGGAACGCUAAUAUCGCAUACGUCCUACGGGAGAAAGCAGGGGACCUUCGGGCCUUGCGCUAUCAGAUGAGCCUAGGUCGGAUUAGCUAGUUGGUGAGGUAAUGGCUCACCAAGGCGACGAUCCGUAACUGGUCUGAGAGGAUGAUCAGUCACACUGGAACUGAGACACGGUCCAGACUCCUACGGGAGGCAGCAGUGGGGAAUAUUGGACAAUGGGCGAAAGCCUGAUCCAGCCAUGCCGCGUGUGUGAAGAAGGUCUUCGGAUUGUAAAGCAUUUUAAGUUGGGAGGAAGGGCAGUAAGCUAAUACCUUGCUGUUUUGACGUUACCGACAGAACAAGCACCGGCUAACUCUGUGCCAGCCGCCGCAGUAAAAC
rnacentral:rRNA from 1 species